GCGGGCGUAGUGUUAGGUCGGUUCAACACACCUCCCUUCCAAGGAGGUACCGACGGUUCAAAUCCGUUCGCCCGCA
rnacentral:tRNA from 1 species